UACGUAGGGGGCUAGCGUUGUCCGGAAUCAUUGGGCGUAAAGCGUCCGUAGGUGGCUAGUCAAGUCUGCGGUCAAAGACUGGGGCUUAACCCUGGAAAGGCCGUGGAAACUGACGAGCUAGAGUGCAGUAGGGGUAGAGGGAAUUCCCGGUGUAGCGGUGAAAUGCGUAGAGCUCGGGAAGAACAUCGGUGGCGAAAGCGCUCUACUGGACUGCAACUGACACUCAGGGACGAAAGCUAGGGGAGCGAAUGGG
rnacentral:rRNA from 1 species